rnacentral:rRNA from 1 species
UACGUAGGUGGCAAGCGUUGUCCGGAUUUAUUGGGUUUAAAGGGUGCGUAGGCGGUUCUAUAAGUCAGUGGGGAAAUCCGGCAGCUUAACUGUCGAUGUGCCAUUGAUACUGCAGGACUUGAGUACAGACGAGGUAGGCGGAAUUGACGGUGUAGCGGUGAAAUGCUUAGAUAUCGUCAAGAACACCGAUAGCGAAGGCAGCUUACUAGACUGUAACUGACGCUGAUGCACGAAAGUGUGGGGAUCAAACAGG